GAUGAACGCUGGCGGCGUGCCUAAUACAUGCAAGUCGAGCGAACAGACGAGGAGCUUGCUCCUCUGACGUUAGCGGCGGACGGGUGCGUACCACGUGGAUAACCUACCUAUAAGACUGGGAUAACUUCGGGAAACCGGAGCUAAUACCGGAUAAUAUAUUGAACCGCAUUGUUCAAUAGUGAAAGACGGUUUUGCUGUCACUUAUAGCUGGAUCCGCGCCGCAUUAGCUAGUUGGUAAGGUAACGGCUUACCAAGGCGACGAUGCGUAGCCGACCUGAGAGGGUGAUCGGCCACACUGGAACUGAGACACGGUCCAGACUCCUACGGGAGGCAGCAGUAGGGAAUCUUCCGCAAGGGGCGAAAGCCUGACGGAGCAAAGCCGCGUGAGUGAUGAAGGACUUCGGAUCGUAAAACUCUGUUAGUAGGGAAGAACAAAUGUGUAAGUAACUAUGCACGUCUUGACGGUACCUAAUCAGAAAGCCACGGCUAACUACGUG
rnacentral:rRNA from 1 species